rnacentral:rRNA from 1 species
GGAUUUCCUAGUAGCGGCGAGCGAAACGGAAACAGCCCAGCUUGGAAAUCGGUGCGCCCCGCGCUCCGAGUUGUAGUCUGGAGAAGGGUCCUCAUCGGCGGACCGGGCUUAGGUUCCCUGGAAAGGGACGCCAGAGAGGGUGAGAGCCCCGUCUAGCCCGGACCCUGCCGUAGCACGAGGCCCUUUCGGCGAGUCGGGUUGCUUGGGAAUGCAGCCUCAAGCGGGUGGUAAAUCCCAUCCAAGGCUAAAUACUGGUGAGAGACCGAUAGCGCACAAGUACCGCGAGGGAAAGAUGAAAAGGACUUUGAAAAGAGAGUCAAAGAGUGCUUGAAAUUGCUGGGAGGGAAGCGAAUGGAUGCCUUGUGCGCCCCCUGGUUGUGUGUGGAACGGCGAGAGCCGGUCUGCCGAGCAAUGCAGGGGGCUGGCCGCAUGGGGGGCUGCGGCGGGAUAACGGUGUACGGGGCCUCGGCCCCUGCCAAUGCCGCCGCGGCCCCCGGGGCAGCGGCGG